GCCGCACCAGUUUCCCCGACAAGAUCCUCUCCCUAAAAAAAACAGAACAUGUAGAACAACAGUUUCAGGGAAGAGAGAGAGAGAGAGAGACGCUUUCUUCAUCCUCCAUCUGGUUCAAGCGCAUGGUCACAACCUUUACCCAAUACCCAUAGGAUAUCUUCAUGAACAAAUGCUUGAGGUUGAGGCACUGAGGAACACAAUGAAAUACGCGGUUCACGUACACAGCGUUCUGCCAACAUCAACCCGGUUUUUCUGAAUGGAUUAUAGGUUUCACCAUAGAUGAAUUCUGAAUGAUUGUUGAAUUUCUGAAUGGACUUUGUAAGGAGAAGACUAUGAACUUAUUUGGAUUGGAACAACUAUUGAAUUUCUUACAUAACUUUCUGUUAUGAAACAAAUGAAAUGUUUGAGUUCUUGUAUGAAACAAAUGAAAUGAAAAUUUAUGUUAUGUAUACAGAUAUUUGGUAAACAGAAUUUGAGCCCGA